CUACAAUAUGCGUUAUAAACCACGAGUCCUUUUCACGAAUGUAGCACCUGAAGCUCAUUCAGCUGGUCUAUUAACAACCCAGGCACCUUGCAAGUUGAUAGUAAACGUGGGCCAGAAGCUGGUCUAUAACACAAACGCAUUUAUAUAGGUUAAACCACGGGAGAUUUUAUUUAGGGGUUUACAUGCAUGGCAUGGCACCUGCUCUGCUCAUGCAGGCAGGUGCGUACAUACAUACAAAGACCCUCGAUCAGGUAGCGUUACAUGGUAAGUAGAUGGAUGGAUCGAUCAAAGAUAUGAUGCACGCGGUGCAUGCAUGACCGAUGAUGGAUCUAGCAACUGCAGCAGGAGCAGCCGCAGCUGGUGCCGCACUUGCACUGGGUGCAGCCGCAGCCGCC
rnacentral:rRNA from 1 species